UCUCUCCCUCACACUUGUAUGGGGGAGAGGGGUUGACCUGUUGGGUACCUCAGUUCAACUUCUCAUUAAUGAUGAGAUGAUGAUGAGAUAGCCUUUAUUUGUCAGUUGCAGGUCUUUUGCCCACAACCGCAACCUGAUUGGAAACACCUGCAGUAGGAAGGACCUAUAAAGACAGCAGCAUGUCCUGAACACUUGACUCAGAUGCACACUGGUGUUUGGUUGGAGUAGCUGCUGUGUGUGGACUUGUGGAAGUGUGAGUGCUCUGGAGCCACAGUUGACAGGGCACGUCUGCAUGCACAGUCCAGCUGGAGGGUUUGUGAGGACACAGUGAGUGCAGCUGCAGCAGUCAUGGCUGCGUGGUUCCUAAUUGCAAGGUACAACGUUUAAAUGUGCUUUCAUGAUCUGCACUUCCUGUACUCAAAUGUGGACCUUUGGUCUGGUUUUAUCUUGACUGUAUUUGUGCUGCUUGACAGGUUUUUACUACUUUAUGUUUUGAAUGAUGUGGACUACUCCUCAGCCUUUCCAGGAGCCACAAGUCCUGUGCAGCCUAGAGUAUGGCAGGGUGGAAGAGGGGAACACGAUGUGUAUGGAAACCCUCGUCCUUUCCAGUACAUGAGGGCUCUGAGGCCAACAGAUCCAAAGAUCUACCCUAAUGUGCGUGAUCGGGUCCAAGUCGAAUCCUCGAGAUCGUAUCAGCCACGCUCUAAUAUUCCCACCCACCGAUCCAUGGAAACAUCUCCGCUCCAGCCUCGAGCACACAGAAACCACCUUGUGGCCAAGCCCAGGAGCUUUGACUUAGCCCUGAGGAUCCCUUUUGCUCAUUCUCGUGAUGGUGCUAAUCCUCCUCGGUACGGACCGAGUGGCCUUAUUAUUGACAACAGUUUUAAUAAUCCCCGCAGACAGCAUGGCCAUGAUGCUUCCAAGCUGGGCUACCAGUUCAGCUUAUCUGUUCCCUUUUCACGUGGUUCUCCACGCCACCCAGGUGGCCCCAAACAUCACGGUGGACAUCAACACAGGCCUGAGGAAGACUAUUUGGGUCAUCAAAGAGGGCCGGUUCAUGUGCCAGUUCGUCCAAGGCCAUACCCCGACGAGCAUCAUCGUGAGCAUGAUCGCGAGCAUCGUGAUGAAGGCCGCCCUGGGCGGGAGUUUGCAUUUCCAGAGCCAGAUGGACCAGAACACCCAUCAUGGCUGCGCCAUCCUCAAAGAUAUGUCGACCCUUACAGUGGAUACUACAACUCCCAGAUGAAGCCUACGUGGAAUGACUACUGGUGGCAUUACCGUGGACCUCACUGGGGUCAUGUAAAGCAUCCAUCUUCUGACCCUUGGCCAAAUUUCCAUCGGUCAGCUUCAGACUGACAUGGAUGGAAGAGACAAGCCAAACUCGCAGGGCACAGGUGGGUCAUUAGUUUUCGGGUAUUAAAACGUGGCAUUUCAUGAUGGUUCAAACCUGUUCCUCACAAGUGUUUCCUCCUUUACAGCUUUACAGUGCAACAAGGAUGAUCUCCUGUAUUUAUCUGAAAUAAAGUGUGAAAGCUCUCCUGCAGUUUCUCUUGUCUUCUGUCAGGUUGAAAGAAUAGCUGAACACUUGGCUUGAGGUUAAUCUUUCAAGAGCUAAUCAAGAUUCAUGUGCUUGUAAGCAAGAAGCAACAAGUCUAUGCCCAAAUGUUAGAAAGCCACUGACUCUGCAGCUCAUUAAAUUUAUGGGUGAUGUGCAUUUUAAACUGCCUCUAGAGCUGUAACUGAGGCCAUUUUACAAUUAUUGCAGGCUUGACACUGAAUCAAGUGUCCCGUCUUUCAGAAGCUGCUUUUGUACAAAUUUACAGCCACUCCAUUUUAGGUAGAAACUCCAAUCUGCCAUUGAAUGACACUUCAGUUGAAUUUCUGCUCUGAGGAGUCUCAAUCUGGGAUCGCUGCCUGCCAAGACAAGUUUACCUUCAGCGCACCCAAACUGUCGGUUUUGGCAGUGUAUCGGCUGGUUUCUCACUUACAGCUUGAAACCUGUUCUCCAAGAUGGUUCUUGGCUGCAGAGGAUGACUCUAAAGUUUUCUCCCUGGUGAAUGAUGACAAGCAGGUUUUGGGAAGAUGAUUCUAAGGGGUAAAUAAGACCUGUCCCUUCCUGAGCCUUUAUCAAAUGCAGUGGAGCACUGAGGUGUUUCAUUUGGCAGUUGCUGAAAGAAGACUUUCUGCUUCACCCAGUAUUCUGAUUGGCUGGCCUUGGCUAAAUCCCUUUUAGGAAAAUAUGCAAUCCUCAGAUGAUUACAGUAUUCACCAAUAUGUUGCCUCUAGACGAGCCCCUAAAAUUGAGGCUGUUCAGUUGGAGUCUGCCUGAUGUGAAAUCAAACGCUGCAGGCUCUCAAGCUUUUAACACCUGCCACACCACUACUAGCAUAUCAUUCAAGAACCUUGCAUUUUCCUCCAAAUCAGACUCGAAAACCGAAGUGCAUUGGAUCUAAAACAAAACUGUAAGUGGUAGUCUGGUCGGGUACCAGUUUCAGCCCUGUUAGAGACAAUGGGCAAAAUCCUGAUUGGCCUAGAACUGGCAAGAUCUUGAGGAUCACAUUUGUGUAUGGGUGAAACAAUCCAUUUACUAGAAGUCAUCCCUUGGAGAUGGACAAAUUUGACGAUUUACCACCACUGCUUACCAUGAGAAAUGCCACAUUGUCAG
rnacentral:lncRNA from 1 species